UUCACAUGUGAGAGGUGAGGCAUAAAUCAAUCUUUGAAAAUCAAACUGCACUGUUUCUCUGUACAUCACUCAUCUGUUCACUCUCUUGGAGCUCUCUUCAGAGGUCAUAUAGUGUGCUGGAGCCAUGUCUGAGGGACCGGUAAGCAAAGUUCCGCCGUUUCUCUUCAGCCAAAUUGGCCCGGUUGCUAGGGAAGGUAGAGUCACAUGGGGUAAGCUCCUCGUGGUCGCGAAUAGUGGUUCUCGCUCUCAAUGGGGCGCGUGGUAAGUUGUGCGUGGAUCGCAGAGAGUGGCAUGAGCCUCCACAUGCUAUGAGCCUCCACAUGCUAUGAGCCUCCACAUGCUGUGAGUCUCCGUGGUGUCAUGCACAGCACGCUACGUGAUAAGAUGUGCGGAUUGACUGUCUCAGAAGCGGAGACAACUGAGACUUGUCCUCCG